AGAAAUGUUAAAGUUAUUAAGUUAAAAACAUUUGAUUUUAAUGACACUUAAAAUUAGACACAAUAUUAUAGUUUACUAACUAAAAAUUGAAAAAACAACAAUAAAUAAUAAAAAAUAAUAAUAAAAAAUUGAAAAAAUCAAAAAAUUCUUAAAAAAUUGCAAAAUAACCCUUUUUUGGGUUAAAAUUGAAAAAUAACCCUUUUUCGGGUUAAAAUUGAAAAAAGAUGUUACAUAAAAAUAGUUUGUAAGAUUUUCUAACAGCAUAUAUGCAAAGUAUUUUGAUUUAUUUGAAAAUAAUUGAAAAUAGAUUUUUCAAGGACGGUGUCGAGGUCACGGUGACGGUGUCGUUUUUCGAAAUUUGUUAACUUAAUAUAAUAGAAGAUGUUUCGUUUUAAAUUAAGAAAUGUUAAAAUUAUUAAGUUAAAAACAUUUGAUUUUAAUGACACUUAAAAUUAGACACAAUAUUAUAGGUUACUAACUAAAAAUUGAAAAAACAACAAUAAAUAAUAAAAAAUAAUAAUAAAAAAUUAAAAAAAUCAAAAAAUUCUUAAAAAAUUGCAAAAU